rnacentral:tRNA from 1 species
CUCUGGGUAGUGCAAACAGUUAACAUGCUUGGCUGCUAACCAAAAGGUUGGUGGUUUGAGUCCACCCAGAGG